rnacentral:rRNA from 1 species
UACGCGGGGGGCGAGCGUUGUUCGGAAUUAUUGGGCGUAAAGGGUGUGUAGGCGGUUUGGUAAGUCUUAUGUGAAAUCUACAGGCUCAACUUGUAGUCUGCAUGAGAAACUGCCGGGCUUGAGUAUGGGAGAGGUGAGUGGAGUUCCUGGUGUAGCGGUGAAAUGCGUAGAUAUCAGGAGGAACACCUGUGGCGAAAGCGGCUCACUGGACCAUAACUGACGCUGAUGCACGAAAGCUAGGGGAGCAAACAGG